rnacentral:tRNA from 1 species
AGGGGCGUCGAUCAGUGGUAGGUCGGUUCUCUCCAAAAGAACAAACGUAGGUUCGAUUCCUACCGCCCCUG